GGAGAGAUGGCAGAGUGGUCGAUUGCGGUAGUCUUGAAAACUAUUGUACUGUAAGGUACCGGGGGUUCGAAUCCCUCUCUCUCCGC
rnacentral:tRNA from 1 species